rnacentral:rRNA from 1 species
ACUAGCCGUUGGAAUCCUUGAGAUUUUAGUGGCGCAGCUAACGCAUUAAGUUGACCGCCUGGGGAGUACGGCCGCAAGGUUAAAACUCAAAUGAAUUGACGGGGGCCCGCACAAGCGGUGGAGCAUGUGGUUUAAUUCGAUGCAACGCGAAGAACCUUACCUGGUCUUGACAUCCACGGAAGUUUUCAGAGAUGAGAAUGUGCCUUCGGGAACCGUGAGACAGGUGCUGCAUGGCUGUCGUCAGCUCGUGUUGUGAAAUGUUGGGUUAAGUCCCGCAACGAGCGCAACCCUUGAUCUUAGUUGCCAGCAUUCAGUUGGGCACUCUAAGGUGACUGCCGGUGACAAACCGGAGGAAGGUGGGGAUGACGUCAAAUCAUCAUGCCCCUUAUGACCUGGGCUACACACGUGCUACAAUGGACAGAACAAAGGGCAGCGAAACCGCGAGGUUAAGCCAAUCCCACAAAUCUGUUCUCAGUUCGGAUCGCAGUCUGCAACUCGACUGCGUGAAGCUGGAAUCGCUAGUAAUCGCGGAUCAGCAUGCCGCGGUGAAUACGUUCCCGGGCCUUGUACACACCGCCCGUCACACCACGAGAGUUUGUAACACCCGAAGUCGGUGAGGUAACCUUUUAGGAGCCAGCCGCCGAAGGUGGGACAGAUGAUUGGGGUGAAGUCGAAACAAGGUAGCCGUAUCGGAAGGUGCGGCUG